rfam:Schistosoma mansoni strain Puerto Rico chromosome 4, complete genome
GUCUAGCUGACGUGUCUCAAAUGGAAUGAAACGCGCGUCCUGUAU